rnacentral:ncRNA from 1 species
CCGUCACAACGGCUUCCUGACGUGACGGUAGACAUCAAUGGAGCA